rnacentral:tRNA from 1 species
GGGGGUGGAUAGCCGUCUGGUGAUGCUCCUGGACUUCAAAUCCAGUGUGGGGCACUAAUACUGUCCUGGGUGGGUUCGAUUCCCACGCACCCCCGCCA